rnacentral:misc_RNA from 1 species
UGUGCUAUUAUUAUUGUCAUCGUCGUGACGUGCUUACGUUUGUGUGUGUGUGUGUGUUGUAUGGGUAUAUCUGGCUGUCUGUCACAUCGCAAGAGGUAUCACCUACUUCGUGUAUUUUAAUGUGUUUUACUUGGAUCAUACUGAUCUGUAUUUAAUCGGCAAAAAAAAAAACACGAUGCAUGCUGCACUAGGAGGUGCCUGUGCAGAUGUAUCUGUAUUACAACAAAGACAACAACGACGUAGAUUAUGGGAUUUUAGGAAAAGCUCUGUUCUGUCAUCGCAUGCCAAAACUAGAGGACUUAACUCACCGGAUUGUCUUCUCUGCGAAAAAGCGACAAAGCGGCCGCCUCCAUGCAACAUGCAGAUGAUCCUGGUUGCUGGCGGAUCGCUGCCGAAACUCAGCAGCCAGGACGAGGAUGGGCCGAACCCUCACACCCAAUACACAGGCGUCACACACUUCGAGCCCAUACCGCACGAUCAUGACUUUUGUGAGAGGGUCGUCAUCAACGUGAGUGGAUUACGGUUUGAGACACAACUGCGCACGCUAAACCAAUUCCCGGACACGCUGCUUGGCGAUCCGGCAAGGCGGCUUCGAUAUUUCGAUCCGCUUCGCAACGAAUAUUUCUUCGACCGGAAUCGGCCUUCCUUCGAUGCGAUACUUUAUUAUUAUCAAAGCGGUGGUCGACUUCGACGGCCAGUCAACGUUCCCCUCGAUGUGUUCUCCGAGGAAAUCAAAUUUUACGAAUUGGGCGAGCUUGCAACCAACAAGUUCAGGGAGGACGAGGGCUUCAUCAAAGAAGAGGAGAAGCCGCUGCCGUCGCACGAGUUCCAGAAGAAGGUCUGGUUGUUGUUCGAGUACCCGGAAAGCUCGCAGGGAGCACGGGUGGUCGCCAUAAUAUCCGUGUUCGUGAUUCUUCUCUCGAUCGUAAUAUUUUGCCUAGAGACCCUGCCAGAAUUUAAGCAUUAUAAGGUCUUUAAUACUACGACGAACGGCACGAAGAUCGAGGAAGACGAAGUGCCGGACAUAACUGACCCAUUCUUCCUAAUAGAGACUAUUUGUAUCAUCUGGUUCACGUUCGAAUUGUCCGUGCGCUUCCUCGCCUGCCCAAAUAAAUUUAACUUCUUCCGUGACGUAAUGAACAUCAUCGACAUCAUCGCGAUCAUUCCUUACUUCAUCACCCUCGCCACCGUAGUGGCCGAGGAAGAAGACACGCUUAAUCUACCAAAGGCACCGGUUAGCCCUCAGGACAAGAGCACGAAUCAAGCAAUGUCCCUGGCGAUUUUACGAGUCAUCAGGCUCGUCAGGGUGUUCCGGAUAUUCAAAUUGUCCAGGCACAGUAAAGGCCUCCAGAUACUUGGACGUACUCUGAAGGCCUCUAUGAGGGAACUCGGUCUUCUCAUCUUUUUCCUUUUUAUCGGUGUGGUGCUAUUUUCAUCGGCGGUAUACUUCGCGGAGGCCGGCUCCGAGAAUUCAUUCUUCAAGUCCAUUCCGGACGCGUUCUGGUGGGCCGUUGUCACGAUGACGACCGUGGGCUAUGGUGACAUGACGUAUGAUGCCCGUGGGAGUCUGGGGGAAAAUCGUUGGUUCCCUAUGUGCGAUCGCGGGUGUAUUGACGAUCGCGUUACCCGUCCCCGUCAUCGUCUCCAACUUCAACUACUUCUAUCACCGUGAGACUGACCAGGAAGAAAUGCAGUCACAGAAUUUCAAUCAUGUGACUAGCUGUCCAUAUCUCCCUGGCACGUUAGGUCAGCACAUGAAGAAGAGCUCGAUGUCGGAGUCGUCGUCGGAUAUAAUGGAGCUGGAAGAAGGUAUUCUACUGGCACAACCAG